rnacentral:rRNA from 1 species
GCUAACUCCGGGCCAGCGGCGGCGGUAAUGCGGGGGGGGCGAGCGUGGGUCGGAAUUACUGGGCGUAAAGCGGACGUAGGCGGAUCAGCAAGUUAGGGGUGAAAUCCCGGGGCGCAACCCCGGAACUGCCUUUAAGACUGCUGGGCUGGAGUCGGAGAGAGGUGAGUGGAAGUCCGAGUGUAGAGGUGAAAUUCGUAGAUAUUCGGAGGAACACCAGUGGCGAAGGCGGCUCACUGGCUCGGUACUGACGCUGAGGUGCGAAAGCGUGGGGAGCAAACAGGAUUAGAUACCCUAGUAGUC